UGAUAGUGGUGGUGGUGACGACGGCAGCCGCGACAGCAUUUGGAGGGAGAAAUUUCAUACAUCGUGACUGAGUUAGUGCGUGUACGUGCUACCGCGCGUAUAUGCUCUCUCAUUCUCAAGAUUGUGCGCGCGUGUAUUGUAUAUGUAUGUAUGUAUAUUAUCGCGCGCGCGCAUUAACGGAAUUCACGAUCAGACACGCAGGGACUCUCAACAAAUGUUUAAAUGGACGCAUCGUCCAUUAUCACGCAAGUGUCGCGGGAUGACGAGCUAGGCCAGUUUAAUAAUGGGAAAGCUCAAUUACCACAAGAAAAUGAAGUGGCCAACAACAAUCCAGCCAGUGGCAAAAAGCCAAGAGGGCGUGGACUUCUGCGGUCUCUACUUUGUUGUCUUGGUAGAGGACGUGGAAGUAGUUCAAAAAGUUCAAAAACAAGUUCAUUGCAAGGUGAUGGACAUGGUUCUCCAUCCCUGAGGACUGGAUCCCCAAGAUUCCUUCUUCCACCUGUCAGACAUCAGGAUAUGCACAAGAAGUGCAUGGUGAUUGAUUUGGAUGAAACACUAGUGCAUAGUUCUUUCAAACCAAUCAACAAUGCCGAUUUUGUUGUUCCUGUAGAAAUUGAUGGGACAGUACAUCAAGUGUAUGUUUUAAAGAGGCCUUAUGUGGAUGAAUUCUUACAGAGAAUGGGUGAACUUUACGAGUGUGUAUUGUUCACUGCAAGUUUGGCUAAGUAUGCUGAUCCAGUAGCAGAUUUACUUGACAGAUGGGGCGUAUUUAGAGCAAGACUGUUUAGAGAAUCUUGUGUUUAUCACAGAGGAAAUUAUGUUAAAGAUUUAAAUAAACUAGGACGGGAUUUACAACAAAUCAUUAUUGUUGAUAAUAGUCCUGCCAGUUAUAUUUUCCAUCCAGAUAAUGCAGUACCAGUGGCAUCAUGGUUUGAUGAUAUGACAGAUUCAGAAUUAUUAGAUUUAAUUCCAUUUUUUGAAAAGCUCAGUAAUGUGGAGAAUAUUUACACAGUCUUGUGCAAUAGUAAUCAUCCUUAUAAUCAAGUACCUUCGGCUAUACAAAGUAGUCCAAGCCCAGGGUCAGGUUCACUUGGUGCUUCCUAGCCCUACCUAAAUUCUAGCCAAAUAGUCAGUAUUGUCAUCGCUCAAUGCACUCUGAGGAGAAUUUUAAUUGGAAUAUUCCACAUUGCUUAUUUGUUAUGUAGCAAUGGACAACCAGUUCUUUUUUCUGAGAAAUAAUACAAUAUGAUUGUUCGCAAUAUGUCAAAAACAAUGAACUGAUUCUAUUUAUUUAAUUAUUAAAAUAUAGUUGAUAAAAAGUUCAAAAAUAUUAAUCUAAUUGAUUAUAUAACAAGACAUUCUUUUAAUUAAAUUGGAAAAAAAAUAUAUUUUAAGUAUAAUUUAUUACACAAUGAAUUAAUGUGUAUAUUCCCGUGUUUGAUGUAUUUGAGAAAAGGAGUAAAUGACAAUGGUAACAAUACAUGAAACAUAAAAUUUGAUAUUUGAUGAAUAAAUAUAUUUA